ACUAAGCACUAUGAGCUUCCUUAGGACCUCACUAAGCUCACUAUAAGCUUAGAAUUUCCUGAAAUCCAACAAUUCACGUGUGCAUGAACAGUGAUCUCAAAAUGGGUUUCGGAUUUCACGUGAUAUCGAGGGUUCCAAGUUCUAAAAAUUGCACCAAUGAACUCACAAGCUUGCAAGGAUUCACAAACUAACCUUUUUGAUGUCGAUCUGU
rnacentral:lncRNA from 1 species